GAUAUUUUACAACAGCCGUGUCGUUCAGAGGGACAAAUGCUUAGUCUGGAAUGGGUGUAGAGGAACACAGCAAAAUCACUUAUCUGGAACUGCAGAGAAGAAGGUUCACCGCUAUUUGAUUUUUAAGAUCGAUGAGAAGAAAAAGGAGGUUGUGGUUGAGAAGACUGGAGGUGCCGCUGAAAGAUAUGAAGAUUGUACCUCCUCUUUGCCAGAGAAUGACUGCCGAUAUGCUGUCUAUGACUUCGACUUUGUAACUUCUGCAAAAUGUCAAAAGAGCAAGAUCUUUUUCAUUGCAUGGUGAGUUUCUUCCUUAUGUCCAGCUGCUUAUUUGAAAUGUUGUGGACGGACUACUUACUAAAUUUCCAUGACCGUGCGUUCACUGUGUUACCCUUCCAGCCUUUCUCUGGGCCACAAUCACAAUACAUGGUUUUAGGUUGGUGUCAUUGGUUUUUUGGACUGAAAGUGCCGAAAAUUCAUGCACAUAUUUAUUCCUGCGUGGGUUGUCUAAGCAUGUACAUCAUUGUCUCUCGAACAUUUUUCUGGUCUGCAUUUAUGCUCAUAUGCUGGUCUGCUUUGUGCCUGCAUUGGUGUUAGAGAUUUCAAAUUUUUUGCUCAAUCAAAUCGUAUUUAUAAGCCAGUGCAUCUUAAUUGGUGUAAAUUUCUUUUGGGCAACGUUCUCCAUGUGGAAGAAAUUAUUUGGAUUUGUAAUCUCAUUCAAUUUUUGUUGCUUGCUAUGUAAGAUACAUUCUUGUCAAACAAAUAUAAUUUAUCGGUCUCGAUUUGUAUGGGUCUGGUGCUAGCUUUUUCUUGAUUGUGCUAUUAUAUGCUGAAUGACAUAUGUGAGGUACUUUGAGCUUAGGUUUGCCCUAUGCAUCUAAAGAUUCUAAACCAUGCUGAUUGCAUUUUUUCUUGAUGAGCAUCACAAGUAGAAGAGUCAGGUCUGAGUUAGAUAGAAUCGAGUUAGGAGCACUCCAUGGUCAUCACUUUUGUGGUUCUGUCCCUUUUUAUCAUGGUGCUGGUGCGUGGUUGAAUUUCUUAAUUUUGGUGCAGGUGGUUCCAAUUAUAUUGUCUUCUCAUUCUUCUGUGCAUGGACGUGGGCAUGCAUGGAUCUCCAUUGAAGAGGAUGUUUCUUUGUUUUGAGAGUAGACUUCAAUUCUUGUGUAUUGGAGUGAUGUAGGUGAUACAAUGCCUUUAGAUUCUCUCUGAUUCUCUGAUUUGAUGUUCUUUAUGAAUAAUAGCGUAGAGCAUUUUAUGGUUUCCAGUCAAAUGCUUUGUCCAGUGAUGUAGGGUCAUGAUGGAAGGUUAUUUCCCAAGCUAAUAGUUUGUUAUUGGUUGAGUGUCGUAUUUCUUCUCUGUGAUGGCCUAGGUUUUGCUAGUUACUAAGGACUUCACUACAUUUUCUCUUUCUUCAGUGUAUAUCGAAGGAAGAUUUGAUACUAAAUAGAGGUCCAUCAUGUAAGAGCAACGAUAUAAUGGAAAAAGAGUUGGUUGUUGUUCUUCUCGUUAGGCGUAUAUUUUAAUAGUACCUCACUCUGUGGUAUGUAGACUGUUUUUCAUGGCAAGUGUCCUUUUCUUGGUUUUGGAAUUAGAAUGGUAUUGCUAGGCUGUUUACAGAAUAGGAAAAGAAGCUCUUUUGGGGGAGAAGAUAUCUUUAUUUUUAUUCUCUUGAAAAUUUAACAUACCUUGUUUGAGCCAUUUCUUUAUCCAAAUAGGAUUGUGCAUAAAAUUUUUGUUUUAGAGUGCUUGUAAUAAAUUAAGAAAGAGGAAUUAGGGAGAAGUUCUCGUGGUGGGUGCAAGCGAACUUGACUUCGAUGCUAUUAUUUGUGGGUUUGGGUUCUUCUUGUGUGUGGUUGAACUCUUGGGUGUUGCCGAUUUUUUCGGAAUCAUCGGUUUUUGUCUUCAAGGUUAUGCUCUUAUUCUUUAGUUUAGUGUGUUUUGACUCUGCCUUCAGU